UACAGAGGGUGCAAGCGUUGUUCGGAUUUACUGGGCGUAAAGGGCGCGUAGGCGGCCACCGCAAGUCGACUGUGAAAUCUCCGGGCUUAACCCGGAAAGGUCAGCCGAUACUGCGGGGCUAGAGUGCAGAAGGGGCAACUGGAAUUCUCGGUGUAGCGGUGAAAUGCGUAGAUAUCGAGAGGAACACCUGCGGCGAAGGCGGGUUGCUGGGCUGACACUGACGCUGAGGCGCGAAAGCUAGGGGAGCGAACGGG
rnacentral:rRNA from 1 species